AUUUGAUGAUGAGAACAUUAAAUACACAAUAACUCAAAUCUUUCCCAAUACUCAGUGAGUGUCUCUCCAUGAGAUUGCCAAAGCCAACAUAUUUCUUUCCUUAUGUU
rnacentral:sRNA from 1 species